CUCUGGGUCUCACAUUUGCUUUCCACAGCAGCAAACUGUGUAGGGAUGGGAACUAAAUCUAACUUUUCAAGCUGUUUCUGCUCUGAAUCAAACUAUUCUCCCUGCAUGAGUUCCAGUAUUUUUCGGUGGAGUCAUAAGCCUGGGACUCUGGCUAGCCACAAGCACCGGACCAACAGGUUGCAUUUGUCAUAAGGAGCAACAUCCUGUGUGUUUUCAGCUAAGAUGCAAUAAGAGACUGGGAAAAGAAGAAAGAGAAGGAAGCAAUGUGGAAAGAAAAUAGAAGCUUUGACUGAAAGCCACAAAAACAGUCUGUCACCCUGCAAGCCCUGCCUUAUGUCAUUGCUAGGAGAGGUUGUUUUAAUUCCAGUUCAUACACUGAAUUUCAGAGGUGAAAUGACUGCAACAAACCUGCUGUCCAAGCAGAGGACAGAGACCAGCUGCUAGCUACAAGCUCAACUGUUUUCAAGUGCAGCACUCCAGCUGGCAUGUGCAAGAGCAAUUCACAUGUUCCUCUUGCACUGACUUUCUGUAUCCCACGGGGUUGAGCACUGCAGUCAGGAACGAAGAGCUGACAAGUACCUCCAAGAAACCUCUUUUAGCAGAGCACAGCUGACAAUGCAGGAUCCAGAGAGUAGAAACUGUAAGCAACCCAGGAGUAUCAGUUUGCUCAACCAUGUCAUGCCUGAGUUUGGAAGGAAUAUGACCACAUCAAGGAAAGUACUCCAAACUGGAUUUGACUAAAACUCAAAAGAUGGACUAAUCUGAAUACCACAGAACUGAACAGUGGAUAAUGUUGCGGGUACAAAUGGCAGUCUCACCACUGAGAAGAAAACAAGCUGUAUAUCAUUAGGGGUUUAUCUGUUGUAUCCCCUGCCAUGAUUUUUGUGGGGCUGGUCCUACACAGAUUUUAACUCUUGCUGUGGUUUUUGUUACAUAGUCAGUUCAUGUUAUGAUGAAGACAGAAAGAAGGGAAAGAUGCCUGUGAUAUCUCAAGGACAUUUUCAUCAAAGAUGCCCAGAGUCAGUCUAGUUCAAAGAGCUAAGAAGGACAGCCAGUGAUUCUGCUUACUGAACUGAUGAAUCCCAAUAGUUUCUUAUCAGCCAUCUGACCUGCUUUCUUCUCUGGCAACACACUAAUUCAUAUUAAAUCUGUAUAUGGUGCAAAGUGUCGUGUUUCAUUAUCUGGGUAAGUCCCGGGAUGGGCAGAGUGCAGCAGCAUACAGUGCUGGGGAGGGGGAUGUGGGGGCAGCCUUCACUGCUAAUGCAGAGCUGAGAACAAGCAGCUUUGACUUGGCUGAGUCUAUCUGCCAAACUAGUGACUUCUGCUGGGAAACAGAACUUUCCCCCUCUUUCUUUAGAUCCCAGCUGAGCUUCAAUGCUCUGUGUUUCUCUCUAACAGGAAAGCUGUCUUCUCUCCUCCUCUGCCAUCUGUGCUCCAUCCUUAUUCUCACAUGUGACUUACUGUAGCUGCAGCCUCAUUAACUUUCAAUACUUGCAGCCUAACACGACUUAACUGGGGGGCUUGAAAGGAGAGGUAGGGC
ensembl:lncRNA